UGAAGAGCUAGACAAGGGAAGUGCUACCAUUUCUUCUGUCACAAGGGCUGGAUUUUGGCUCCGAGCCAACACACAUGACCUCUCCAGGGACUUGGACUCCUUACAGCAAAAAGUGAUGGAGAAGGAAGCCAGGCAGAGCCUACUGCUUUCAUAGGCCAUCCUGAAAAUGCCUGCAUCCAUUGAUCACGGCAGACACUGGGUUUCACUUGGGUUUAAGAUGUAGGACUACUUCACUUCUGGAUGUAGGAAGGCGACAUAGUAUUGUAAAAAGAGCUUGUGGGGUGGAGUAUAUAGUGGUCUGACCAUCUACAAAAUGAAAUCUGCCUCAUCCCCAAGCAAGGGUUCUGGGUAAAACAAUGGUACCAAAGACACAUGUGAGAUUAGUGGGUCCCGGUAGGAGGGGUGGCGAGGAAGAGAAGCAAUCACUCCUCUGAAAUAUGCUAAAUACCUAUUUCAUUUCCAAAUUAGCACA